AAAUUCGCGGAGUGGUUUAUUACGUUUUGAAGUUUAUAUUGCCCACAGUUCGGAAGGGUAUCAUGUAGUUUCCCUUCUUUUGAAAACGACUUCAAGUUUUGUGAAUUUCAGGGCAUUGAUGGGUCUUCUGAUGUCUUCAACCGUAUACAAAUGAAGUAUGUUAAUGGCGAUGAGGACAUCAACAAGUAAUUCAGUCGUUAAAGUCUUAGAAAUUGGCGUAGUUACAACCAUUUUUUAAGCCUAUGUGAAAUUCUGGUAACUCUUUAGCAACAUUUGUCUGAAAUUCUGAAUUCCCAAAAGGAGCUGCCAAGAACGACACUGUAAUCCCCGUGUAAGAGAUUUGGCGAUGGUCAGUAGUCUAGCUUUAUGUCACAAUCCAAUUACUUAUGCAAAUCAAAAAGGAUCUUGCAAGCUUCUAUUAUCAGAUACAUACCAUGGAGGCUCCUCCAGGUUGCAUUUCAUCUAUAAGAAAUGGUACCCUCCAUUUUUACAAUCAAAGGUGAGUUGAAUAUAAAAUGACUAUAUACAGGUAUAGUCUUUGUACUGGACUAUUUAUUCUGCUCUCUGAAUUUGAGUCCAUUUGCUGCUAUUAUAUUGCAUUUGAACAUUUAAAAUACAGACCAUCCUACCCUGGUAGAAGGAAGUAUCCUUUCAUGACUUUUAUAUGGCUCCCAGUUUCAUGUCAUUUGUACCUUCAUUAGUGGCAUAUUAAUAAUAAUUGUCAUAUUACUGGAUCUUUCAGAAGGAGAUGAAGCCAGAUCAUUCAUUCUAAAAAAUAGGAGUUCUUCAGGAACUCAGAACCCUAAUAGGACAAAAGUUGCCAAGUACUCCAUAGCUCUUCAGUAUCUGUUCUUAGAGAGAAUUGUUGAAGAUCAAACAGACUAAAUUUUUCAUCAUUUGGAAAAUCACGACGUUGUGCUAUCUCUAACCCGAUGAUGCUGAUACUGAUUGGUUCCUUUUCAGCGAGCACACUUGUAUCUCUGCACACAUCCACUGAACUAACCAUGUGAUUCUCAAGAUAUUAGUAGCUUAAUUUCUGUUUAAUGGUGCCACCAAGUGACAUCACCAACAAGAAAACUCAUGUACUUUGGCUCUUAGAUUAUGGUGGUUUGGCAAAGCUGGUUUCCGCAAUUUAUCAAUUAUGAGUAGCAGAAUAUCCACAAAAGGUGACAAAUAAAAGGGACGAGGGUGAUACUGGUACAAGGUAGCUGAAUUGCGUGUUAUCUCAAUCUCAAAUGUAAGGGGCUUUUUGUUUUGUUUUUGUUUUUGUUUUUGGUCAUGGGUUUUCAGUUUUUUGGGGUCAUGGGGCUCUUUUUGUUUUGGUGUACAAAAGUUUUUUGGUCAUGGGGCUCUUUUAAACGUAUUAAGCUUCAAGUAACUGGUCUUU